AGGACGAACGCUGGCGGCGUGCUUAACACAUGCAAGUCGAACGGAUUAGUUGGGAGCUUGCUCCCGGCUAAGUGAGUGGCGGACGGGUGAGUAACGCGUGAACAAUCUGUCUCAUACAGGGGGAUAACGCAUCGAAAGAUGUGCUAAUACCGCGUAGGACCACGGAAUCGCAUGGUUCUGAGGUGAAAGGCGAAAGUCGGUAUGAGGUGAGUUCGCGUCUGAUUAGAUAGUUGGUGAGGUAACGGCCCACCAAGUCAACGAUCAGUAGCCGACCUGAGAGGGUGAUCGGCCACAUUGGGACUGAGACACGGCCCAGACUCCUACGGGAGGCAGCAGUGGGGAAUAUUGCACAAUGGGGGAAACCCUGAAUGCAGCGACGCCGCGUGAGUGAAGAAGUAUUUCGGUAUGUAAAGCUCUUUUAGCAGGGAAGAUGAUGACGGUACCUGCAGAAAAAGCCCCGGCUAAAUACGUGCCAGCCGCCGC
rnacentral:rRNA from 1 species